rnacentral:rRNA from 1 species
GAUGAACGCUGGCGGCGUGCCUAAUACAUGCAAGUCGAGCGAACGGACGAGAAGCUUGCUUCUCUGAUGUUAGCGGCGGACGGGUGAGUAACACGUGGAUAACCUACCUAUAAGACUGGGAUAACUUCGGGAAACCGUAGCUAAUACCGGAUAAUAUUUUGAACCGCAUGGUUCAAAAGUGAAAGACGGUCUUGCUGUCACUUAUAGAUGGAUCCGCGCUGCAUUAGCUAGUUGGUAAGGUAACGGCUUACCAAGGCAACGAUGCAUAGCCGACCUGAGAGGGUGAUCAGCCACACUGGAACUGAGACACGGUCCAGACUCCUACGGGAGGCAGCAGUAGGGAAUCUUCCGCAAUGGGCGAAAGCCUGACGGAGCAACGCCGCGUGAGUGAUGAAGGUCUUCGGAUCGUAAAACUCUGUUAUUAGGGAAGAACAUAUGUGUAAGUAACUGUGCACAUCUUGACGGUACCUAAUCAGAAAGCAACGGCUAACUACGUG